CAAUGACAGGGGAAGCAAAGGCUGAGGACUUAGCCCAGUCCUCAAAUCUCUCUAAGACCUCCAUAUGCAAGAAGGUGGAGUCCUGUCCUUUUAGUUUCCAGAAAGUGGAACCAAGGAUAAGCAAUGAAGUUCAGAGAAAGUAAGAUUAUAACUUAACCAAAGAAUGUCCCAAAGACCAGAGUGGCUCAAAGAUACAGAUAGUAAUUUGAGAUAUCAGGUUUUAUUCAAGACACUUGGGAAUUAAAAGUGAACAAAAAUAAGUUACAUGUCGUAGGAUGGACAUGUAUCCAGUGUAAACCUAAGAAGCAAAUGAUAUGAUAUAUAUGUUAGAAGAGACACACAGAGAGGCAGAGACACAGGCAGAGGGAGAAGAAGGCUCGCUGUAGAGAUCCCGAUGCGGGCCUCCAUCCCUGGACCCUGGGACCCUAGGAUCACACUCUGAGCAGAAGACAGACACUCAACUGCUGAACCACUCAGAGCGGAACGAUUCAAAUCCAAUCUCCUGUGCUAUGAAGACACGCCAAAUACAGUGGCAACUUUGCGCCUAAAGUUUGAUCGCAGUGAAACAUGAGUCCUCAAAGGUCAAGAACAACCUAAUGGUCUGUGGGGCUCCUACAUGCUGAAAAGUGUGCUUCCCAGGAUGUGAACACAUCACUGCUUAUACUGCUUCCCCAAACCCCUUCUAGCUUCAGUAAUAGGAGAGGGAGGUUUCAAGCUUCUCCCAGAGAUGGGGACAGAUUGCCACAAAUAGAGAUACAGCAGACAAAGGGCGGAGACUGUUCCAGGCAGAGCCCCUCUCCUGGAGGGAUCAUCACCAGAGCUUCUGGCCAGAUCUGCAGAUGGAGAAGCUUUCCUCUAGGUGUAUAAUAGACCAACUUUCGUCUCACUAAAGGGAAAGUAUCCCACAAUGAUGAUCAGAAUGGGAGAAGGCUCCUUAGCCGUGGAAAGAAUGGAGGAAACGUGGGAGGAAGAAGUGGCAGCUAAUCACACGAUGUCAGGCUUGCUUCAUGGCCCGGCAUAUUGUCAAUUUUAGUUCACUGCAGGCAGACUUCAUUCUUCAGCUGAAGAUCAAAGCUCCUGUCAAGGAACUCCUGUCCAUGUGACUUUCUCCUUCCAGAUCUGUGUCCUCUACCACACAGUGCAACCAGAGGGCUGAGACUCAUAUUGGAUUCCUCUUUAAUCCCCAACACUCAGUAAAUGUUUGUUGAAUUUGCAAAGGACAGCUGCAGAUCUUAGAGCAUAUUCACUUGAAUUUCUUCAGUAAGAGACCAACUCGAAGACAUCUUCGUGCACUAAGAGAAGGUGCCCUAUUUGGAAAGUGUCAAAAGUCACUGGGAUCCACACCUGCUGGGCUAUGAAGCAAGAAGAAAAGCUCCACUCUCUUAAUUAAGAAGUUAAAUGCAAUGUUACAGUUAGAGAACGUUCUUUGAAGCCAUGAAGCCUUCAGUUCCCAUCUCUUCCCUGCCCCUUCAAAAAUGCGUGACUUUGGGAAAAUCACUUAACUUCGAGCCUCUAUUUCUUAUAGUAAAAUGGAAAU